AGAACCAUCAUCAUUUUAUCUUAUCUACAUAAAUUUUAAUAAUGGAUAUACUGCUGCCUUCUAUGAAAAAAAAUAUUGAACCAACUCACGCGCAUCAUUACGUAGUUGUGACCAAAAUGGCAUCGCGUCGACAUUGCGCUCGUGGACGACCGAAGCGGCCUCGUCUGCUGAUAGCUCUUCGUUUGAAGACGAAGUUAUUAUUCAAAACAUCACCGAACGUCAAGACGAUGUAUCUUCUGACUUCAGCUCGAACCAAGGUCCCUUCAUUCGUCUUUAGAAAACUUGGAUCUUAUUCUUGAUAGUCCAGUGCAAGAAGAAACCUUUACGACAUUAUCUGAUGAAGAUACGGUUCCACUGACUCCAGUAAUACGUAGUAUUUUUCCUUCGGACACACCACCCAAUCCGCUCCCAAAUUUAAAUUUAGUUUCGUCAAUUUUAUCACCACUUAAUACUCCAUUAACCAAGAGUUGUAGCUAAAAGAGUAAAAUAGUACAAGAGACCUCUUCUUAGUUUCAAGUGGCAGCGUGGGAAAUUCAAAUACUCAGCAGAGUUUGAUAUGCCUGAUCUUAGCACUAGUAGUACCGCAACAGAAUCUCCGUUAGACUAUUUUCUUAUUUUUUUUUUCUGAAGAUAUAAUAGAUUAUAUUACGGAGCACACCAAUUUAUAUUCUGUGCAAAGCAAAGAAGGUAAAUCUAUAAACGUUACAGACAUGAUGUGCGUGAUUUUCUAGCUAUCACAAUUAUGAUGGGUAUUGUAAGAAUGCCGUCAUAUCGAGACUACUGGAGUAGGUAAUGAUUUCAGAUACCCUCCUGUCGCUGAUGUGAUGAGUCUAAAAAAGUAUAAGCUAAUGAGAAAAUAUUUGCAUUUCGUGGAUAAUUCGGACCUGAAUAACGAUCGUUAUUUUAAGGUUCGGUCGAUAUUAGAAAAAGUAAGGACUAAUAUUGUUUACGACUAGAAGAAGAAGGAAGCUACAGCAUAGAUGAAAUUAUGGUCCCUUACAAAGGCACUAGAGCAGGAAAUAGACGACAGUACUUGCCAAAAAAACCCAAGAAAUGGGGCCUACUGUGUCUAGACCUACAGAUGCUGUAAGAUUUGAUAAAAUUGGCCAUUUUCCAGUUUUUGUACAGCGAGGUAGGUGCAAAUACUGCAAAACUGGGUAUUCAAAUACCCCUGUUCAAAAUGUGAACAACGUUUGUGUUUAGUUCCCAAAAUAAACUGUUAUAAUAAAUAUGUUUUUUAAUA